UGGAGUUUUGAGGAUUUGAGGGUUGAGUUUGUGUGCCGAGAGUGGGUGAUUGGAUUAGGUUGAUCUUGGAGGAUGCCCAUUGUUCCAGAUAUUCUAUCCAUCCAGGUAUGACUAAGAUGUAUCAUAAUUUGAGGCAGCACUACUGGUGAGGUGGUAUGAGGUAAGAUAUAGUGGAUUUUAUGGCUCGUUGCCUAUGUUAUCAGCAGGUGAAGGCCAAGCAUAUGAUACCUGGUGGAU
rnacentral:lncRNA from 1 species